rnacentral:lncRNA from 10 species
GUUGAACGGACUCACCAGGAAACGUGACUUUCGUGUCCGACCUCUGCUGUAUCAGGAUUCGAUUCUUGGUGUUAAACAAGACAACGCUGAAGGCUCGGUGCAGCAGCCCUGCAAAGGUUUUUCCAGCGCUCUUGGGAGGUGGGCUGUGCCACUGCCUGGCCCACCUGGCCCACCUGGCCCACCAUUACCUGAAGGGAAGCAUGAACAGCCUUUGACGUGGGAGUGGCGACUGCUGAGAGGGAACUGUCUGUACACAAGCAAUGUAGCCUUAUGGGACCUGAGUGGAGCCCCAACCCACGCAGGGCGUGUCUUCAUGGCUUUUCCUGGCCAAUCUGAUACCAAGAUGCAGUGGCCAGAAGUACCUGCACUUCCACUCCUGUCAAGUCUCUGCAUGGCUAUGGUGAGGAAGAGCUCUGCACUGGGCAAGGAAGUUGGCCGUCGAGUGAAGGAAAUGGUGAUGCUGGUGGCCCCUUUCCGGCAGUCAAGUUCCCUAUCAAGGACAUUCAGUUCUCGGAAAGUGGUGAAGGCACAUGCUUCCCUGCAUGGUGCCCGCCUCUCUCCACUCUCUAGAAAUAUUAGAGGCUAGGCUGCUGCUGUAUGUCAGGGCUAGUCCCUCUUCUAUGAAUCCAGAAUAACUCUGAAGAAGCCGAGUAACAGGCAUGAAGUGAAGAGAAAUCGCUGUAACAGGAAGACAGCAAAGCAGAUGCUAAUGACCACACUAUUUAACGAACUGGAACCAACGAGAAAAUACGGUAUUACUGAAGACUGCACUUCCUUGAACAGAGUGCUCUUCUCAGCAAAUCGGAAAUGCCUACACAAAUCGCUUUACAAGAAAGACUGUUUCAAAGCAGCACCUUUCUCAAUGUUCUCGUUCAGGUGACAAUUCUUCUUGGUCUCAGCUCCAAUUUUAUUGUCAUUUUCAUCAAUAAGGAUACACAUCUCUGCCAGGAGUUGAACCUGUUGCUUGUCGAGGUGGUUAGUGUUUAUUUCAGGCAUCAUUACAAAAUGUCUGAUCUGUUCUAGAACACUAAUAUUAAAGGAAAAGAGAAAGAAA